rnacentral:lncRNA from 1 species
UGAGAGUUCAUCUUGACAUAGGACAGGUCCUGUGGUCCAACGCCAGGGGUCCACGCAGUUAUGGAACAGAUGUCUGACAGGAGAUAGGGGUUAUAACAUGUUUAUAAAAGGUCUAUGACAGGUUAUAACAGGUCAAUAACAUGGGACAGGUCCUGUGGUCCAGCAGUUUAAGGUCGCCACGCAGUUCUUAUGGGACAGGUGUCUGACAGGUAGGGCUUUAAACAGCAGUUUGUGUGUGUGUGUUAACACGUUUAUCAUGGGCUAUAACGGGUUUAUAACGAGUUAUAAACGGUCUAAUAAGGGUUCAGACAGUUGAUAAGUGGGGUUCAGACAGGUUGAUAAGUGGGGUUAAGUGUAGGGAAAAAGCAGGGCUCAGACAGUUGAUAAGCGGGGUCAGACGGUUGAUAAGCGGGCUCAGACAGGUUAUAAAGCGGGGCUCAGACAGGUUAUAAGCGGGGCUCAGGACAGGUUGAUAAGCGGGGCUCAGACAGUUGAUAAGCGGGGCUCAGACAGGUUGAUAAGCGGGGCUAACAGGUUGAUAAGCGGGCUCAGCGUGAUAAGGGGCUCAGACAGGUUGAUAAGCGGGGCUCAGACAGGUUGAUAAGCGGGGCUCAGACAGGUUGAUAAGCGGGGGCUCAGACAGGUUGUGAUACAGCGGGGCUCAGACAGGUCGAUAAGCGGGGUUCAGAUAACUGGGCGUAACGUCGAGGGUAAUAAGUGGGGUUAACGUAGAGGGUAUAAGUGGGGUUAACGAUAGAGGGUUAUAAGUGGGGUUAAGUAGAUGGUUAUAAGUGGGGUUAAGGUAGAGGGUUAUAAUGGGUUAGUGGGUUUUAACGUCGAGGUAAUAAGUGGGGUUAACUUCUUGGGGUAGGGGGCAGGAUUGGGUAACUUGGAUGAAAAACGUGCCCAAAUUAAGCUGCCUGCUACUCCGCCUAAAAGCUAGAUAUGCAUAUAAUUUAGUACAUUUGGAUAAAAACACUCUGAAAGUUUCUAAAACUGUUUGAAUGAUGUUUGUGAGUAUAACAGAACUCAUAUGGCAGGCAAAAACCUGAGAAAAAUCCAACCAGGAAGAGGGAAAUCUGAGGAUUGUAGUUUUUCAACUCAUUCCUAUUGAAGAUACAGUGGGAUAUUAGUUAUGUUUCA